GCGGGGCGCGGCCCUGUCACGGCCCGGUCCCGUCGCGGUCCCGUCACGGCCCGCGCUGUCGCCCCGCCGGUGAGGCAGCGGCAGGCGGCCGUGAGGCGGAUCCUGGCCGCGAGCGGGCUGCGGUACGGAGCUGCUCGACGUGGCGGCGGACGAGGGCCCGCUGCGGGAGGUGCAGGAGAAGGCGGCGACCCGCGGGCGCUGCCGCCGCAGAUGUUGAACGGCGCCGCGGGGAUUUCGAGGUGUUGCACCAAGCGGCUGGGAACGCAGUCUCAAAGUUCCUGAAGAUGUCCUCGACAGACGCACCGGCGAGGGAAGGAAUUACUGCAUAAAGGACUGGGCCCGGCACUUGAUAUUUCACGAAUGCAGCUUACUAAAUAAAUGUGUUUUGUAUACUUG